GACGAACGCUGGCGGCGUGCUUAACACAUGCGAGUCGAACGGAAAGGCCCUGCUUUUGUGGGGUGCUCGAGUGGCGAACGGGUGAGUAACACGUGAGUAACCUGCCCUUGACUUUGGGAUAACUUCAGGAAACUGGGGCUAAUACCGGAUAGGAGCUCCUGCUGCAUGGUGGGGGUUGGAAAGUUUCGGCGGUUGGGGAUGGACUCGCGGCUUAUCAGCUUGUUGGUGGGGUAGUGGCUUACCAAGGCUUUGACGGGUAGCCGGCCUGAGAAGGUGACCGGCCACAUUGGGACUGAGAUACGGCCCAGACUCCUACGGGAGGCAGCAGUGGGGAAUAUUGCACAAUGGGCGGAAGCCUGAUGCAGCAACGCCGCGUGCGGGAUGACGGCCUUCGGGUUGUAAACCGCUUUCGCCUGUGACGAAGCGUGAGUGACGGUAAUGGGUAAAGAAGCACCGGCUAACUACGUG
rnacentral:rRNA from 1 species